rnacentral:tRNA from 1 species
GAGGGUAUAGCUCCGUGGUAGGGUGCCUGCCUAGCACGCACGAGAUCCUGAGUUCAAUCCCUAGUACCUCCA